rnacentral:misc_RNA from 1 species
GAAAUGCGAUAAGUAAUGUGAAUUGCAGAAUUCAGUGAAUCAUCGAAUCUUUGAACGCACAUUGCGCCCAUUAGUAUUCUAGUGGGCAUGCCUGUUCGAGCGUCAUUUCAACCCUUAAGCCUAGCUUAGUGUUGGGAGUCUACAUGAAGGCUUUUGCCCUACUGUAGUUCCUGAAAAUCAACGGCGGAUCUAUAAUAGUCCUCUGAGCGUAGUAAUUUUUUAUCUCGCUUUUGUUAGGUGUUAUAGCCCUUGCCGCUAAACCCCCCAAUUUUUACUGGUUGACCUCGGAUCAGGUAGGAAUACCCGCUGAACUUAA